rnacentral:rRNA from 1 species
AGUGAACGCUGGCGGUAGGCCUAACACAUGCAAGUCGAACGGCGACACAGUAAGAGCUUGCUCUUACGGGUGGCGAGUGGCGGACGGGUGAGGAAUACAUCGGAAUCUACUUUUUCGUGGGGGAUAACGUAGGGAAACUUACGCUAAUACCGCAUACGACCUACGGGUGAAAGCAGGGGAUCUUCGGACCUUGCGCGAUUGAAUGAGCCGAUGUCGGAUUAGCUAGUUGGCGGGGUAAAGGCCCACCAAGGCGACGAUCCGUAGCUGGUCUGAGAGGAUGAUCAGCCACACUGGAACUGAGACACGGUCCAGACUCCUACGGGAGGCAGCAGUGGGGAAUAUUGGACAAUGGGCGCAAGCCUGAUCCAGCCAUACCGCGUGGGUGAAGAAGGCCUUCGGGUUGUAAAGCCCUUUUGUUGGGAAAGAAAAGCAGCAGGUUAAUACCCCGCUGUUCUGACGGUACCCAAAGAAUAAGCACCGGCUAACUUCGUG